rnacentral:rRNA from 1 species
AGUGAACGCUGGCGGUAGGCCUAACACAUGCAAGUCGAACGGCAGCACAGUAAGAGCUUGCUCUUACGGGUGGCGAGUGGCGGACGGGUGAGGAAUACAUCGGAAUCUACUUUUUCGUGGGGGAUAACGUAGGGAAACUUACGCUAAUACCGCAUACGACCUACGGGUGAAAGCAGGGGAUCUUCGGACCUUGCGCGAUUGAAUGAGCCGAUGUCGGAUUAGCUAGUUGGCGGGGUAAAGGCCCACCAAGGCGACGAUCCGUAGCUGGUCUGAGAGGAUGAUCAGCCACACUGGAACUGAGACGCGGACCAAACCCCUACGGGAGGCAGCAGUGGGGAAUAUUGGACAAUGGGCGCAAGCCUGAUCCAGCCAUACCGCGUGGGUGAAGAAGGCCUUCGGGUUGUAAAGCCCUUUUGUUGGGAAAGAAAAGCAGCAGGUUAAUACCCCGCUGUUCUGACGGUACCCAAAGAAUAAGCACCGGCUAACUUCGU